AUGGGCAUUUGGCUGCCAUGAAUAGCUCUGCUAAGAAGCUGUGUUCGCCGAAUUUGAGUGUGUGUGUUUGUGAUUCGUGGACUGCUGUUGGUUGUUUGAAGCUGGAUAUCGAAGAGGAGAAUGAGGACGAUGACGGGCUGUUGAUGGAAGGACAAGGGAGCAGCUCCAAUGGCGUUGAUGCUCUCAAUAAACAAGAGCUAGAUGAAUGUGUGUGUGUUACAACGCUGAAAGACAAAAGGCGCAAUUCUAAACUUGAUCCUUUUUACUUCAAGUACAGGAAAAGGAGCACGGUUAAUCAGUCCAUGGUAACAUAUAAGAGAAGGCCCAAAAAACUCAAUCCUUGUUCUAUGUUAACAUAUAAGAGAAGGAGACCCAAAAGCCACCUCUUUGCUUGUCAUAUAUUAACAUAUAAGAGAAAGAGACCCACAAUCCUAUAUGAUCGUUCAUCUUGAGGCCGAUACUGAAUCUUCGAGUUUAGUGUCUGGAGAUCACAGGGCUUUAUUGUAGAAGAAGUGGCUCGCCCCCAUUGAAAUGAAGUGACUGAGCUUGGCCAUGGCGUGAUACUGAAUCUUGAUGCUACAGGAAGGAUCAAUAAUGUUUGCAGAAAGCAGGUGAGAGGCUGAGAGACAUACAUUUUCCCACUUCAAAAACUUGAAAGCUCUCUCUUACUCUCCUCUGGAAAAAAACAAAGGAAUCUCAUUUGGGAGAACACAUUCACAGUCAUUUCUGCAGAAAGAACACUUGUUUGAACGUUGUGGGAAUGGACGAUCAUGUACCAGCAAUCACCAGUGAACCGCUCGUCAGGCUUUCUCCUGAGAAAGACGGGGAUCCUAUGAUUCUUAUCAAGGUGCAGAGCUAACAGGGUUCUGUCAUCUCCUACAUUACCGGUCUCCAUAUGCAGCUUAAACAUGUAACUCGAGAUUACUGCAGACGUCUAAAUUAACUCAUCAUCUUGUGAAAUUUGCCUAGGCUAGAUUACAGUCUAUGCUGCUUGUUUGAUGGAGAAAGAAAGACCUCUUUUGUUCAUGUUUCAUUUCUGUUGGGAAAUCUAGAUACAAUAUUUUGGAUUCAGCAGAUGUGUGGUGACUUUUUGCUUUAUUGUUGUGUUGAUGACAAUCUGCAACUGGAUGAAUGUAAUCUUUUGAUAUUUGAGGAGUUGCUUCGGGUUUCGUCUA